rnacentral:rRNA from 1 species
CGGAAGACCAAGGGUUCCUGUCCAACGUUAAUCGGGGCAGGGUGAGUCGACCCCUAAGGCGAGGCCGAAAGGCGUAGUCGAUGGGAAACAGGUUAAUAUUCCUGUACUUGGUGUUACUGCGAAGGGGGGACGGAGAAGGCUAUGUUGGCCGGGCGACGGUUGUCCCGGUUUAAGCGUGUAGGCUGGUUUUCCAGGCAAAUCCGGAAAAUCAAGGCUGAGGCGUGAUGACGAGGCACUACGGUGCUGAAGCAACAAAUGCCCUGCUUCCAGGAAAAG